GUGAAGUCAGUGACUCCUGAUAAAAUUUCUUUAAGCAUUGCGGACCUUGAAAGUGAACCUGGUCUAUUUCUAUCAAAUAAAGAGAGAGUAUUUUUGGAGGCUGAUAUGAUGGCAAAGAAAUACAGGGAAAAGCUACCUCCUCCUCUUAUUACUCAACUACCCCAACCCCUCCCAAACAACACCAUGCCUUUUGAAAAUGAAGCACUUUAUGCUAACUGGAAGUGGUUCAACUUUGAGAAAUAAUGAAGAAACAGAUUA